rnacentral:rRNA from 1 species
GUGCCAGCAGCCGCGGUAAUACGGAGGAUCCGAGCGUUAUCCGGAUUUAUUGGGUUUAAAGGGUGCGCAGGCGGCUUUUUAAGUCAGCGGUAAAAUCGUGAGGCUCAACCUCAUCGUGCCGUUGAUACUGGAGAGCUUGAUUGUAUUCGAGGUUGGCGGAAUUCGCCGUGUAGCGUGAAAUGCAUAGAUAUGGCGAAGAACUCCGAUUGCGUAGGCAGCUGACCAGGCUACAAAUGACGCUCAUGCACGAAGGUGCGGGGAUCGAACAGGAUUAGAUACCCUGGUAGUCCGCACAGUAAACGAUGAAUACUUGUUUUUGGCGAUAUACAGUCAGAGACAAAGCGAAAGUGAUAAGUAUUCCACCUGGGGAGUACGCCGGCAACGGUGAAACUCAAAGGAAUUGACGGGGGCCCGCACAAGCGGAGGAACAUGUGGUUUAAUUCGAUGCUACGCGAGGAACCUUACCCGGGCUUGAAAGUUAUCGACGGAGGCUGAAAGGCCUCUUCCCUUCGGGGCGAGAAACUAGGUGCUGCAUGGUUGUCGUCAGCUCGUGCCGUGAGUGUCGGCUUAAGUGCCAUAACGAGCGCACCCUUUUCUCCAGUUACCAUCAUUAAGUUGGGGACUCUGGAGACACUGCCAUCGCAAGAUGUGAGGAAGGAUGGGAUGACGUCAAAUCAGCACGCCCUUACGUCCGGGGCGACACACGUGUUACAAUGGGAAGGACAGCGAGGAACGAUGCGGCGACGCAAAGGGAAUCUUCAAACCUUCUCCCAGUUCGGAUUGGAGUCUGCAACCCGACUCCAUGAAGCUGGAUUCGCUAGUAAUCGCGCAUCAGCCAUGGCGCGGUGAAUACGUUCCCGGGCCUUGUACACACCGCCCGU